rnacentral:rRNA from 1 species
CCUACGGGAGGCAGCAGUGAGGAAUAUUGGUCAAUGGGCGAGAGUCUGAACCAGCCAAGUAGCGUGAAGGAUGACUGCCCUAAGGGGUGUAAACUGCAUGUAUAAAGGAAUAAAGUGAGGCACGUGUGCCUUUUUGUAUGUACUUUAUGAAUAAGGAUCGGCUAACUCCGUGCCAGCAGCCGCGGUAAUACGGAGGAUCCGAGCGUUAUCCGGAUUUAUUGGUUUUAAAGGGAGCGUAGAGGGGUUGUUAAGUCAGUUGUGAAAGUUUGCGGCUCAACCGUAAAAUUGCAAUUGAUACUGGCAGCCUUGAGUACAGUUGCGGUAGGCGGAAUUCGUGGUGUAGCGGU